rnacentral:rRNA from 1 species
GACGAACCGUCCUAACGUUGUUCGGAAUCACUGGGCUUAAAGGGCGCGUAGGCGGCUUGCCAAGUCAGGGGUGAAAUCCUGCAGCUUAACUGUAGAAGGGCCUUUGAUACUGGCGAGCUCGAGGGAGGUAGGGUAUGUGGAACUUCCGGUGGAGCGGUGAAAUGCGUUGAUAUCGGAAGGAACGCCGGUGGCGAAAGCGACGUACUGGACCUCUUCUGACGCUGAGGCGCGAAAGCUAGGGGAGCAAACGGG